UGAAGAUUACUCUUUAUAAAUGUCCUCGAGAACUAUAGUAGCUUUUUGUUCACCCUUUGCAAGUAAAAAGGGUAGGUCGUUCCACUACUAACACAC
rnacentral:snoRNA from 1 species